UACGAAGGGUGCAAACGUUGCUCGGAAUUAUUGGGCGUAAAGCGCACGUAGGCGGCUUAGCAAGUCCCAUGUGAAAGCCCACGGCUCAACCGUGGAAGUGCACUCGAAACUUCCGAGCUGGAGUUCUGGAGAGGAAGGCGGAAUUCUCGGUGUAGAGGUGAAAUUCGUAGAUAUCGAGAGGAACACCGGUGGCGAAGGCGGAUCCCUGGGCCGUAACUGACGCUGAGGAGCGAAAGCAUGGGUAGCGAACAGG
rnacentral:rRNA from 1 species